rnacentral:rRNA from 1 species
UACGUAGGGUGCAGGCGUUAAUCGGAAUUACUGGGCGUAAAGCGUGCGCAGGCGGUUUGCUAAGAGAGAUGUGAAAUCCCCGGGCUUAACCUGGGAACUGCGUUUCUAACUGGCAGGCUUGAGUGUGGCAGAGGGGGGUGGAAUUCCACGUGUAGCAGUGAAAUGCGUAGAUAUGUGGAGGAACACCGAUGGCGAAGGCAGCCCCCCUGGGCUAACACUGACGCUCAUGCACGAAAGCGUGGGGAGCGAACAGG